rnacentral:rRNA from 1 species
UACGUAGGGGGCAAGCGUUGUCCGGAAUUAUUGGGCGUAAAGCGCGCGCAGGCGGUUCCUUAAGUCUGAUGUGAAAGCCCACGGCUCCACCUUGGAGGGCCAUUGGAAACUGGGGGACUUGAGUGCAGGAGAGGAGAGUGGAAUUCCUGGUGUAGCGGUGAAAUGCGUAGAGAUCAGGAGGAACACCGAUGGCGAAGGCAGCUCUCUGGCCUGUAACUGACGCUGAGGCGCGAAAGCGUGGGGAGCAAACAGG